rnacentral:lncRNA from 1 species
GCCCGCCCUUCCGGGCCCACUCCCGAGGGGACGGUCUCCCGCCCGCCCUCACACACAGCUAGCUCUUCAGGCCAGGCCCCCAGGGUUUCGUCCACCUCUCACCUUUGACGACGCGAAUGAAGAAUGAGGAGGUGCUGCGAUCGAACGACUGCGAGGAAACACACCCGCUCUCAUGGCAUUCCCAGUAAACUGAGAAGACGUGAUUAAACCUCAGGAUCUCCUACUAAUAGAGAAAUGUAUAACGAUUUAGCUACCAGAUCUGAAUACUGAAGGGUUGGUAGGGGACCAGAGAAUAGAGGAAGCAUUGUAGGUUCUAGAGUGGAGAAGGGACCAUCCAAAAUGGAGUUUGAAAGAGAAUUCUGGCCUUUGUGUUUAGAGUCUGGAAUUGUCAAGAGUCUGAAAGCACAGAAUAAGACUGCAGCUAGAGCAAUUUAGGCGCCAUAGUUUGUCAAAACAGAGACGGGAUCUCACUGUGUUGCCCAGGCUGGUCUCGAACUGCUGGACUCAAGUCAUCCUCCCAUCUUGGCCUCCCAAAGUGCUGGAAUUACAGUGGACAACCUUCAAUGCACUGGUACUUUGUACCCUGACCUCUACUGUGAUGAACACUCAACUUGGGCAAGGAAGUGAAAUUCUCCAAAGUGGGUUCUGACCCAAUCAGCAGCCUUUGCUUCUCAGAUUCCUCUCAAGGCUUUAUGACUCUUCUCACCCCAGGAAACCCUACAACACGCACGGCCUUUCAGAACUGCUACAUGGAAUGGACAUUCCUCUGGGCUCCAGCUGAAUGUUUGUAAAUAAAAUAAUGACUGCGUGUCCUUAUUUUUGCUGAGUA